rnacentral:rRNA from 1 species
AAAAAUAAAAAAGUCGAACAGACUCAAACAGUAAUAAUCUACCCCUACUGCUAAUUUUAAUCCAACAUCGAGGUCGCAAACUAUUUCAUCGAUAAGAACUCUACAAAAUAAUAACG